GGCCAUCCAUGGCAAGCGCGUGUCUGCUGCUGUCCUGUGCCUUCACAUCAGCCACCAAAUCCAUCUGAUCUCUCUGCUGGCCUCAAACUUCCAGAUUCAGAAACAGUGGAGAGUGCAGGAAAGCAAUCAAAGAAAAAUAGGUAAUGGAUCUUUGAUAGUUGCUCAGAUGCUUAUUGAAAUGAGAUUGGAUGUGCCUUUCCUACUGAAUCAAACCUGAAGGAGACAGAUCCAAGAAAAUAUUGCUACGAUUUAUAUCAAAGAGUAUUCUGCACAGCAAAGGAAAUCAUCAUCAAAAUGAAAAGACAACCUACUGGGGCUUCUCUGGUGGCGCAGUGGUUGAGAGUCCGCCUGCCGAUGCAGGGGACACGGGUUCGUGCCCCGGUCCGGGAGGAUCCCACAUGCCGCGGAGCGGCUGGGCCCGUGAGCCAUGGCCGCUGAGCCUGCGCGUCCAGAGCCUGUGCUCCACAACGGGAGAGGCCGUGAUGGUGAGAGGCCCGGGUACAGCAAAAAAAAU